AUUGAACGCUGGCGGCAGGCUUAACACAUGCAAGUCGAACGGUGAUUAUCUAGCUUGCUAGAUAUGAUUAGUGGCGGACGGGUGAGUAACAUUUAGGAAUCUGCCUAGUAGUGGGGGAUAGCUCGGGGAAACUCGAAUUAAUACCGCAUACGACCUACGGGUGAAAGGGGGCGCAAGCUCUUGCUAUUAGAUGAGCCUAAAUCAGAUUAGCUAGUUGGUGGGGUAAAGGCCCACCAAGGCGACGAUCUGUAACUGGUCUGAGAGGAUGAUCAGUCACACCGGAACUGAGACACGGUCCGGACUCCUACGGGAGGCAGCAGUGGGGAAUAUUGGACAAUGGGGGCAACCCUGAUCCAGCCAUGCCGCGUGUGUGAAGAAGGCCUUUUGGUUGUAAAGCACUUUAAGCAGGGAGGAGAGGCUAAUGGUUAAUACCCAUUAGAUUAGACGUUACCUGCAGAAUAAGCACCGGCUAACUCUGUGCCAGCCGCCGCGGUAAGAC
rnacentral:rRNA from 1 species